rnacentral:lncRNA from 1 species
AUUAUUAUUAUUAUUUUCCCUAUAUUAAACAAGUAGUUAUUUAUGAAUUUUGAGUGAAAAAUUCACUCGGCUGUGGCAGAUUUUGUGCCUUACAAGUAGUCGAUUUCACGCAUUCAUCAUCACCAUUACUAUGUUCAUUAUUAUUUGCUAUUGUUUUUUACUUUUUCUGCUGUUAUUGAUUAAAUUGACAUUAAAUUUAUGUCUUGUCCAUUACAAGACUUAACAAUAUAAUCCAGUUGUAACAUGGACACUACAGAUGAUACAAGUGCGCAAGACCUAGUCAGAGAGCGUAGUACACUUUUUGUAAGUAUAAACUAAUUGAUAUUUUUCGAGUUGUUAUGUUAGCAACCAUUUUAAAAACACUUUUGUUUUCGAAUUUUGGUUACGUUGAAGUGAAGGGGAUUGAGUUGCCAUUAAAAAUUAAAGUAUUUUGGUCUUUAUAAACAAAGCGCUUUUGUGGAAUAGAUCUAAGAAGAUGCUAAUCUUCUUAAUAAAUUUUUUUUUAAAAAAAUUCUAUUACUCUUGGUGCAACAAAUUUCCUAGUCCCAAAACCUUGUCAUAGAAAAAAAAAGAAAAAAAAAAAGAAAACAGAAAAAGAGUGAAAAUCUCUUCGGUCAACCAAAUUACUCAAAUUCGUAAAAUAAUAUAAUACUUGAACCUUAAAAAUAAAAGCUCUAUCUAUUACUAUAUAAACAGUGAUAAACACAAUUACUAUCUAAGCCCACUCGAAAUUUUAUCAUACAGUCGUAUAUUUAUCACCUUAUGUACGUAUAUUGUAAUUUGGAUACGUUAUUUAAUUGUAUUUAUAUUGUGUAUAUUUACCACAUUAUGUACGUAUAUAAAAUAUAAUGUAUAUUGUGUAAACUCUACUAUAAACAAUUAAUAUUUGGUCAUAUUUCUUUUGGCAAAUAACCCCCUGGGAUUUCUUCUUUAUCGCAACAUGAAAUUGAAGAUAUUUAAAAGGUUUUGAAACGUUAUUUUUAUUGAAAGGAGUUGCCAUUUUUAAUUUUGGUUGCAAAUAAUAAUUCCUUGGUGGUUACAAUAUUUUUAAAUAUCCCCAUUAAGGCUGUAGGGGCUACAAAUCUUCAUUCUAGAUCUGUAACAUAUGACUAUGAAUUAUAUAUAAAUGAGCUAUUUUUCUUUAUCUUUGGAUAUAUUAUAUACUCUAUUGUUUGCUCCGAAACUCUACGAUAAACAAUUAAUACUUUUCUUUGCAACUUCGACAUUCAAAGACUUGGUUUAUUCUUCAGGUAAAUCGUGCUUAGGAAGAAGAGCGGCAUGAAGAUAUUUGGGUUGUAUUUUGGAGCUGCGAAAUACGGACAAUAUCCGCCCGUGGGGAGGGCUCUUUGACAUUUGCUACGUUACAAAACUCUGCCGUCGCUCCGUUAUAUGUAAGUACCAACCAUGCGUUAUUAUUCGAUUUGCUACGUUACAAAAUCUU